UACAGAGGGUGCGAGCGUUGUUCGGAAUUACUGGGCGUAAAGCGCGCGCAGGCGGCCCUUUAAGUCUACCCGUGAAAUGCCGGAGCUCAACUCCGUGCACGCCGGGGGAUACUGGGGGGCUGGAGACAUGUAGAGGCAAGCGGAAUUCCGGGUGUAGCGGUGGAAGUGCGUGGAUAUCCGGAAGAACACCUGAGGCGAAGGCGGCUUGCUGGGCAUGGAUCUGACGCUGAGGCGCGAAAGCGUGGGGAGCAAACAGG
rnacentral:rRNA from 1 species